rnacentral:rRNA from 6 species
GCGACCCCAGGUCAGGCGGGACUACCCGCUG